UACGGAGGGUGCAAGCGUUAUCCGGAUUCACUGGGUUUAAAGGGUGCGUAGGUGGGUUGGUAAGUCAGUGGUGAAAUCUCCGGGCUUAACUCGGAAACUGCCGUUGAUACUAUCAAUCUUGAAUAUCGCGUAGGUAAGCGGAAUAUGUCAUGUAGCGGUGAAAUGCUUAGAUAUGACAUAAAACACCAAUUGCGAAGGCAGCUUACUUCACGAUCAUUGACACUGAGGCACGAAAGCGUGGGGAGCAAACAGG
rnacentral:rRNA from 1 species